rnacentral:rRNA from 1 species
AUUGAACGCUGGCGGUAGGCCUAACACAUGCAAGUCGAACGCGAAAGUCCUUCGGGAUGAGUAGAGUGGCGGACGGGUGAGUAACGCGUAGGAAUCUAUCCUGUAGUGGGGGAUAACGUUUCGAAAGGAACGCUAAUGCCGCAUACGCCCCAAGGGGGAAAGCGGGGGAUCUUCGGACCUCGUGCUAUAGGAGGAGCCUGCGUCGGAUUAGCUAGUUGGUGAGGUAAGGGCUAACCAAGGCGACGAUCCGUAGCUGGUCUGAGAGGAUGAUCAGCCACACCGGAACUGAGACACGGUCCGGACUCCUACGGGAGGCAGCAGUGGGGAAUAUUGCGCAAUGGGCGAAAGCCUGACGCAGCCAUACCGCGUGUGUGAAGAAGGCCUUCGGGUUGUAAAGCACUUUCAGUGGGGAGGAAAAGCUGGUGGCUAAUAUCCAUCGGCCGUGACGCUACCCACAGAAGAAGCACCGGCUAAUUCCGUGCCAGCCGCCGCGGUAAUAC